AUGCAAAAUUCAACUUGGCUGUGGGGCAGGGUGGGGCCGACAGGACCGACUGGCUCCCCGCUGGCAGCGUUGGCAGCGGCUGUGCAUAUUUGCAAUGCUUCCUCCAGCCUGCGACAACCGACUGCAAACAGCACAGCGCUGGGUCGCUGGCUGCGGGGAGCUGGUUUGUGCAGAGAAGCAGGGAGCACUGUUUGCAGCAAUGUUGUGAGCGCUGAACCGAGGGCCCUGGCGGAAGGAGAGGACACAGAGGUAGAAAGACACCCACGGACAAACAGCACGGUCCAGCCCGAGGGGUCACUGCCAGGAGCACCGUGGGCGGCGCCAACCCCAUGGUCUGGCGGCUGAAGAGAAGCUGAGGAUACAGCUAGCUGUUCUCUCGGGACGGGACGUCUGGAGCCAGAGCUGGGGGAAACAGAGCACCGCCCAGGACAAGACUCAAGUGGAAGGGAAAGCAAGAGAUUGAAGAGGCGAAGGGAAGACUCAGGAGUGAGGAGGGCCCUCGCCACAGAGAGCAGUUUGGCCUUUACUGGGUGACUCUCAGAUCGAGUCUGGGCUCUUUUUUCAGUCACUGCUUUGCUUUAUCCCCGGUGCCUACAAAACCCCAGGCACCGAAUGAAGCCAAGAAGUGGCCGGCGAUGCCUUUUUAAAAAUUCAGAUGUGAAGAAGGAGUCAGAGGGCCCUGGGCUCUCCACAGUGGGGUUGGAGAGGCGGCUCUUAACUGGCGAUGGGAAGGUGUGAAGUGUGGGCAGGCGGGAAGGAAGUGGAAGUCACCCAGCACGGCUCCAGAGCCUUCACUCUCACAGGCAAUGAAAGGAAGGCACUCGACGGUCACUUCCUUCCAGAAGCCUCAUUGGAGUCACGUGGCUGGGGCUCCUACAACUCAGCAACUGACGUGGUGCUUCCUGUACACUUUCCUCUUGUUUUAUGAGAUAACACCCAAGAUAAACACGAAGCAGCCAGCUCUCUUUUAUAGCAUUUCUCUGGUGGGCAGAAGCUACCUAAGAUAAAUAUGUUUACAGAUAGAAAUAUGGUUGGGUUGCGGAGGGGGGGGAUAGUCCUUCCACUUGUGUAUUUUUUCCCCUUAGGAUUUAAAAAGAAAAAUCUUUAAUGUUUUUUAUUUUGCUGUAAGCCAGUGGGGAACCAUAAUUACAGAGCUGUUUGUCAAAAAACAAACGAAACACACAUGCGCAAUAGUAGCAGCUAUGCAUUAGUGCCUCUUUAUAAUUAAGAUGAAGGUGAUAUGAAAAAUAUAUUUUAGGCCAGGCAUGGUAGAGCAAGCCUCUAAUCCUAGCACUCAAGAGGCUGAGGCAGGAGGAUUGCCAGUUCAAACCUGGCCUGAGUGACAUAGUGAGAUACUGCCUCAAAAAUCAAAAAGAGAGGGUCGGGGAUUUAGCUCAGUGGUUCCGCCACCUGCUUCACUAGCACAAGGACCUGAGUUCGAUCCCCGGUACCGGGAAAAAAACAAAGAGGAAGGAAGGAAGAGAGGAAAGGAGGGAAAGAAGUAUUUUCUGCAGUAUCAUUGAUUCUGUUAUCCUCCUGCUCAUUCCCCUUUGCUUAUCUGCUUUUUCUGAAGGGCAGGUGUCCUUACGCAUCAGCACUUUCUAGGUGGCUGAGUGCCUCAGCCAGGUUUCUACCUGUGCCACCCUUGACAUUUCAACCACACAAGGGCACAGAAGGGGUCAUAGGGCUCGGGUUUCCUUCCAGAAGAGAUGAGAUCCUACUCUCCAAAGUGGACCCUUUGACCAGUGCUCCCUAAAGCUGAAAUCUUGUGGAGUAGAUGUGCUAGUGUUUUGUCUGCUGGUUUUGUGGUCCUGGGGAUUGAACCCUGGGCCUUGUGUAUGCCAGGCAAGUGCUCUUCCACUGAGCUAUAUCUCCAGCCUUUCUGGUUUUAUUUAUUUCCAGACAUGGUCUUGCAGAGUUGCUCAGGCUGGCCUUGACUUUCAAUUCUCCUGCCUCAGCCUCCUCAGUAGCUGGAAUUACAGGCACACGCUAUCACACCUGGCAUGUGAUAUUUUUGGUUAGAUCUCUGGCUGUUAUUUUUAAGAAAUGAGUGCUUACAGUUCCUCAAAUUAUCACAGUGGAUCAGGGAUCAUGUGCUUCCUGUUUGGACACAAGGGCCCCUCUUACUCCCCACUCUGGCCUUUGAGGUGUUUAUCACGAAUCUGGCCGAAAGUCUCCCGGCGACUUCCCCUGUGGCUCUGGGUGAGCCUGCUCCUGCAUUUGGAAGCUCCCGACAUUAGAGUAAGUGGAGAAGCCAUGCAUAGAAAUCAAGCCCUGGUGGUGCACACCUAUAAUCCCAGCAUUCAGGAGGCUGAGGCAGGAAGAUUGCCAGAAGUUUGAGGGAACCCUGGGCUCCCUAAUGAGUUCAAGAGCAGCUUGGACUACACAUCGAGACUUGGUCUCAAAAACACCAAAAACAGGGCCGGGGAUUUAGCUCAGUGGUUUCACUGCCUGCUGCGCAAGUGCAAGGUCCUGAGUUUGAUCCCCCAUACCAAAAAAAAAAAAAAAAAAAAGCCAAAAACAAACAAACCAGAAAUGGCUUUAAAUCUGGACUUCUGUGCUACCUUCAAAUGGGGCUGUGAAUUCACACACAAAGUUGAGCUUACAGGAGGGAAAGAAGAGAAUAUUCAUCUUGCAAUUUUAAUUUAAAUGACAAACAUUAGGGCUGGGGAUUUAGCUCAGUGGUUCUACCACCUGCUUUGCAAGUGCAACGUCCCAAGUUUGAUCCCUGGUACCAAAAAACAAAAAACAAUAAAGGACAAACACUAAAAUAUUCCAUGAUUUUGUAAAUCAUGUUUUGCUAUUUGAACAUUUUAAGAAACCUCCUACGAAGCUCAAAGGUGGAAUUGGCUCCCUUCUCUCUUUUCCCCAUUAGCAGCGGGUCACUGCUCACUGAAUAACUAGGACCUUUUUCUGGUGCUCAAGCAUCCCUUCUUCACUCCCAGGGGAGUGUUGGGGCCACAGCCAGCUUCUCCCAGUCCUGUCAGGGGUGCAGGCUCUCCCAGAGGACCUGACACAAAUACCAUCACUACAUGAGUGGUCCACCCACCUGGCCCUCACUAUUAGCCUUGCUGAGGUUCAGAUCUAAAAUGUUCCCCAAAAGUCUGUGUGUGGGAGGUGAUUGGAUCAGAGGUACCAUGCUCAUCAGGGGACUCAUCCAUGGGUGAGUUAGUUCAUGGCUGAGCUCGCUGUCAGGAGGUAAGGCCUGACCUUGUAGUGUAUUCUUGUCCCUGGCUCUUCCCUUCUCUCUCUCUGCAUCCUGGCUGCCAUGAGGUGAGCACAUUUCCUCCACCAGGCCCUUCCACUAGGCUGUUUCUGCCUUGGUGUGGGGAGCGGUGUCAGCCAAAGAAGCUCCAUUUUAAGUUUACCCUCCGUUGUAAAUAGGAGAUUAUGUUAUGGGGAACCGUGUCCUUGCCAACUCCGAUGCUUACCUUCAGAGGUUGCCUUAGAAACAAGAUAAAUGUUCUGUAACCUCAAGAAACAAAAUAGCCCUUGAGGGCGGGGAAUGUUCAAAAAACUAGUAAACAAGGAAGCAGGUGUUUUUUGUAUAAAGGUAAUGAUUAAUGACCUAACUCACUGAGUGUAUAAGAGAGGUGUAAAUAAACUUGCUUGCUUGGUCUUGGGAGCCCUCCCGACUCUGUCUCUUUGUCUUAUUUUCUCAGUCCUCCUUUCCCCCAUUCAGGAACCUUUCGACUGGUGACGGCUGGUCCGUCACACCUUGGAGCCAGCAGACCAUGGACUGUACCCUCUGAAAACUGAGCCAAAUAAACCUCUCUUCCUUUAAGUUGUGGGAGUUGGGUAUUUUGUCCCAGCAAUGGGAAUGUGACUAA
rnacentral:lncRNA from 1 species